UCCAGAUUAUUUCCUGAUUUGAUUUUUCAUGUAAUUAAAUAAUGGUUAAUUACAUUUAUUUAAUCCAAAAAGGGCAAAAAUGUCCACUCAAAUCCACGAAUUAUGGCAUCUGGUUGAACAAAUCCCGAAAAUUACUCUCUUCCAAUUCUGGGACCUGAUCCGUCAAUGAACAUAAUAAUAGGUGAACAUUAGUAUGUUCAUUUGUUUUCCUAUGAACAUAUUGAUGAACAUUAGUAUGUUCAUUUGUUUUUCUACGAACAUUAUCAUGUUCAUUUAUUUUUCAACGAACACAGUACAAAAAAAUCGAUAAACAUUUAUUUUUUUUCUACAAACACACUACGAUUCGCCACCCCACCACGCUUCACGCCUCACGCCCCCACGCGGCCACGCCUCAGCCCACUCCACCGCGCCUGGAGGCUGGAAGUUCUGCUGCUGCUUUCACUCCCACCCUCGCCGCCCUGCUACUAAUCAGCGCCGCCGCAGCGCCGCUGCCCGCCUGCUUUCACUCCACCACCGUCUAGCAGAUAUUUCAAGGUUUUGGCAGCGAGAUUUUGUGUUUUGGGCAGAAAUUAAAGUCUCCACAAUAGAUUCUUCAGCAGCUAGUUGUAAUAUGUCUCACAAUGAUAUUGAAACGAUUGGAGAUACAAAUGAUGAUGGGGAUACACAUGAUGGAGAUACACAAGGAGUUGGAACCGGGGAUACACCUGAUAAUGGAGAUCCUGCAGCUUCCCAACCCUCUGAAGCUAAGAAACGGAAAACCAUGGAGAAAAGGUCAGAUGUUUGGAAAAAUUUUAAGGCUUUUGAAGAUAAAAAUAAGACUCCAAAAGCUAAGUGUAUCCAUUGUGGGAAGACUUUUUGUGCUAGCACUAGGAAUGGCACCUCAACUCUUAAAAACCACAUGAACAAAUGCAAGAAAACUCAUGCAAGCGUAGAUCUUAAGCAAUCACAAUUGAUUUUACCAUCUGGGUAAAAUUCAAAUCUUAGUUCUUGGAAUUUUGACCAAGAAGAGGUUAGGGAUGCCUUAGCUUACAUGAUUGUUGUUGAUGAGCAGCCAUUUAAGUAUGUGGAACGAGAGGGAUUUCAACACUUUGUUUCUAAGGCUUGCCCAAGAAUUAAGAUUCCAUCUAGAUGGACUGUUUCACGUGAUUGCUUUAAGUUGUAUGAGAAUGAAAAGAACUUGCUCAUGGCACGGAUACAUGGAUAUCUACUAAGAAAGAGAAUUACAUGUGUUUGACUGCGCAUUACAUUGAUAGUGAUUGGAAAUUGCACAAAAAGAUUGUCAAUUUUUGUCCAAUUUCUAGUCACAGGGGUAGAGACAUUGGUUGGGAAAUUGAGAAAUGCUUGCAUGAUUGGGGAUUGGAGAGGGUGUUCACUGUUACAGUUGAUAAUGCUUCCUCAAAUGAUGUUGCAAUUACUUAUUUGAAAGAAAUUGUUAGUCAAUGGAGGGAAAACAUUAGAAAUUGUGAUCAUAUGCAUAUGAGAUGUAUGGCUCAUGUAUUUAAUUUAGUGGUGCAAGAUGGUCUUAAACAGAUUGGGUCUUCUGUGAAAAAGAUUAGACAUGCUGUUCGGUUUGUUAGACAUUCUGGUGCUAGAUUGCUUAAGUUCAAGGAAUGUUGUGAGCUUGAAAAAAUUACAAGUAAGAGUUUGUUGUGUUUAGAUGUUCCUACUCGAUGGAACUCCACAUACUUGAUGUUGGAGGCUACAAUAACAUUUGAGAAAGCAUUUGCUAGAUUUGAUGUGUUAGACCCGACAUAUGGAAUUGAUCUUGCAUGUGAGGAUGGAGGGGGGGGUGCCUAAUAAGUAUGAUUGGAUGAAAGCAAGAAAGAUGCUCAAUUUUUUGAAAAUCUUUUAUGAGAUAACUUGCAAGAUUUCUGGAUCAUUGUAUGUUACAUCUAACUUGUUUCUCCAUGAGAUUUAUAAGGUGCAAAUUUUGUUGAAUGCUUUUAUACUUGGCAAAGAUGAAGAACUAAGCAAGAUGGCAACAAAUAUGAAAGAAAAGUUUGACAAGUAUUGGGGACAUCCAAAGAAGAUGAAUAAAUUGGUUUUCAUUGCUGUUGUUGUUGAUCCUCGAUAUAAAAUGAAAUGGGUGAAACUUGCUUUGAGGGGUGUGUAUGGUGAUGAGUUGGGUGAUUAUAUGGUAAAAGAAGUUGAAGAUGAAUUGGUUGCUAUGUGUGGUGAUUACAAGCAACCAAUUGUUACAGAAAAUAUUGAUGAGCAUAGAGAAAUUGAGUUGCCAAGUGUUGAAGUUGAUGAUAGUGAGACAAUAAAGAAUGCGAUGAAAAUGUUUGGGGGAUAUAUACCAAACAUUUCACCAUAAGGAUGGUAAUGAUUUUCAUAAGUAUCUUAAGGAAAAUACUGAGAAUGGUGGGCCAAAAUUUGACAUUUUAUCAUGGUGGAAAACAAAUGAAUCUAAAUAUCCCGUUCUCUCCCAAGUGGCUCGUGAUGUUUUGGCAGUACCCGUCUCAACUGUAGCAUCAGAGGCAGCAUUUAGCACUGGAGGACGAGUACUUGACCCUUUUAGGAGUUCGUUAAGUCCUAAAGUUGUGGAGGUUCUCAUUUGUGGUCAAGAUUGGCUUCGCAAUUCUCCUACCGCAGUUGAUGUUGAGGAACUUUAUGAAGAUGUCCAAAAAAUUGAACAAGGCAUGCAAAAUUUGGUAGUGCAAGCCCAACAAAUUAAUCAAUCUCCAUUAUUUGUUGGGACUUGAAAGCUAUUGAAGAUGAUUAGACGAAUGUUUAUUGAUUUUGAGUUUUGUGGUUUUGUGAACAUUGAAAUUAUGGACUCUUUCCUUUAUCAUUUGAUGCUAAUUUGUUGUUGAUUUGAUGGA